AACGAACGCUGGCGGCAUGCCUAACACAUGCAAGUCGAACGAGACCUUCGGGUCUAGUGGCGCACGGGUGCGUAACGCGUGGGAACCUGCCCUUAGGUUCGGAAUAACUCCCCGAAAGGGGUGCUAAUACCGGAUAAUGUCUUCGGACCAAAGAUUUAUCGCCUUUGGAUGGGCCCGCGUUGGAUUAGCUAGUUGGUAGGGUAAAAGCCUACCAAGGCGACGAUCCAUAGCUGGUCUGAGAGGACGAUCAGCCACACUGGGACUGAGACACGGCCCAGACUCCUACGGGAGGCAGCAGUGGGGAAUAUUGGACAAUGGGCGAAAGCCUGAUCCAGCAAUGCCGCGUGAGUGAUGAAGGCCUUAGGGUGGUAAAGCUCUUUUACCCGGGAUGAUAAUGACAGUACCGGGAGAAUAAACUCCGGCUAACUCCGU
rnacentral:rRNA from 1 species